ACGUGAUCUGAGUUCAGACCGGAGUAAUCCAGGUCAGUUUCUAUCUAUAAAGGGCUUUUUCUAGUACGAAAGGACCGAAAAAACACGGCCUAUGUUUUAUGUAAGCCGUAUUCAUUAAUUUAUGAUUAAAUCUCAAUAAAUAAUUGACCUAUUAUUAGACUCUAAACAAGAGUA
rnacentral:rRNA from 1 species